rnacentral:snoRNA from 1 species
GGGGUAUGCUCAGAGCAGGGGACAUUGAAAAAAUGGCUCCUCUGUUUACAACACACCCAACAGGGAUCUAGGUUAUUGUGACAAGGGCACAAAACUCGGCCUUCCUAUGAACAAAUAGCCUACAUGU